GCGGAAGAGGAGGAGAAGGAGGUGCUCCGGUUGCCGGCGAACGCAAGGAGGAGCGGCGGCGGGACGGCGACGCAGCUGGACUCCUCAACCCUUCAUCUUCUGAAACGAAGAGAUGACCUUAAUAUUUCAUUGGAGAGCACAUGCUACCAGCGAUGCAUGCGUGUUGUACAGAGAUGAUGAGCAAAUGGGAGGAGUUGGUCUCAGAAAAAGGGGGUUCAUGUGAGUUGGAUGUGUCACCUCAUCUCCAAAAUUUAGCUGCCAAUGUGAUUGCUCGAACAGCAUUUGGGAGUAGCUAUGAAGAAGGCAGAAGGAUAUUUGAACUCCAAAUGCAACUAGCCAGUCUUGUGUUUCGACUUUCACAGUCAAUGAGCUUUCCAGGACGGAGGUUUCUACCAACAAAGAUAAACAAGAGAAUCAAAGCAAUCAACAAUGAAGUGCAAAUUCUUGUGAGGGGAGUCAUCGAUGAAAGGGAGAAAGCCAUGAAGUUGGGAGGAGCUGGUGAUGAGGACUUGUUGAGUGUACUAUUGAAAGCCAACUUGAGAGAAAUCAACGAGCAUGCAAACAAGAAUGCAGGAAUGAGUAUUGAUGAUGUGAUUAAGGAGUGCAAGCUAAUGUACUUUGUGGGCCAAGAGACUACUGCACAGUUGCUUGUUUGGGCAAUGAUUAUGUUAAGUUUACAUCCAAACUGGCAAACGCGUGCAAGAGAAGAGGUUCAACAAGUGUUUGGGAACAAUAAACCAGAGUACAAUGGGAUAAACCACCUUAAGAUAGUAACAAUGAUAUUGAACGAGAUUCUUAGGUUAUAUCCACCAGCAAUAAUGAUGUACCGUGUUAAUCAUAAAGAGACAAUGUUGGGAGACAUGGUGAUACCUUGUGGAACAAACAUCAUGGUACCUAUACUCUUCGUCCAUCAUGAUCGUGACCUUUGGGGAGAAGAUUCAGAAGAGUUCAACCCAGAGAGAUUUUCUGAAGGAGUUGCUAAGGCAACGAACAAACAAGCAUCCUUUCUGCCAUUCGGUUGGGGUCCUCGAAUUUGCAUUGGGAACAAUUUUGCGAUGUUGGAAGCAAAAAUGGCUUUAGUAAUGAUUCUUCAACACUUCUCAUUUGAGCUUUCUCCAUCCUAUAUUCACACACCUUCCUUCCGUGUUACCCUUCAACCUCAAAAUGGCGCACACAUUAUUUUACAUAAAAUAUAGUGUUGAAAUCUUGGCUAGCUAAUAAUAUUUACCAUAAGCUGAGAAGUUAUAUAAUAUGUUGGGCAUGUUUGGUGUAAUUUAUUUUAAGUUAAAAGCUAAUAAUCAAAAAAUCAAAAUAAAAAACAUAUCCUUUUUAGCUUUUAAAUAAUUAGCUUUUUGAGGAAGAUGCCUAAAACAGCCCAAUUGUGAUAGUAACUAGCUCCAUUGUGAGAUGCAUGUGCUUGUGUUGUAAUUUUCUACUUCUGUUGUGAUUUUUUUUUUUUUAUUUGUUUCAGUACUCCAUGGGAAUAUCAAUUUACUAUUCUGUUAAAAUA